CGGUACCUCGCGCGGAUGCCCUGGAAGGAAGUCCUCCUCCUCUGGCCCCGCCCACCGAGGCGGACGCGCCCGGGCUGCAGAGUGCUGAGCCCGGCCUUGGGGUCCGCUUCUCCCCAACAGCUGCUCCCUGCCCUCUCUGAGGUCUCGCCGACUGCAGCCCUUUUGUGUCAGAACGAAUUUUCUGCACAGUCAUUCCGCUCGCUGACCAGCAACAUGUUAUCCCUGCGGCCUGCCUGGAGACACUGGGAAACAGAUCCUGUUCUUCCAGAUACUACAUGUGAAAGAAUGGCCUCCAUCUCCCUGCAGAAGAUACUCUAGAGUUGAAACAGAAGCAUACACAUUUCCAAGGAACAGACGAAGGACUCCCAGUCGUAAACCCUUUUCUUGUAAGUCCCUAAGGAACCGUUGGAGUGGGAGGCUAUUCUUGGGUGUUACUUGCAGCAAUAGAUUCUUUUAGCGACUUUGAGUCAUUCUUAGAGUGGCAGCCUUGAGUUAUUAGAAACUGUUCUUGGCUAUUUUAAUGUGG
rnacentral:lncRNA from 1 species